rnacentral:rRNA from 1 species
GACGAACGCUGGCGGCGUGCUUAACACAUGCAAGUCGAACGGAAAGGCCCUGCUUUUGUGGGGUGCUCGAGUGGCGAACGGGUGAGUAACACGUGAGUAACCUGCCCUUGACUUUGGGAUAACUUCAGGAAACUGGGGCUAAUACCGGAUAGGAGCUCCUGCUGCAUGGUGGGGGUUGGAAAGUUUCGGCGGUUGGGGAUGGACUCGCGGCUUAUCAGCUUGUUGGUGGGGUAGUGGCUUACCAAGGCUUUGUCGGGUAUCCGGCCUGAGAGGGUGACCGGCCACAUGGGGACUGGGAUGCGGCCAAGACUCCUACGGGAGGGAACAGUGGGGAAUUUUGCACAAUGGGCGGAAGCCUUAUGCAGCAACGCCGCGUGCGGGAUGACGGCCUUCGGGUUGUAACCCGCUUUCGCCUGUGACGAAGCGUGAGUGGCGGUAAUGGGUAGAGAAGCACCGGCUAGCUACGUG